rnacentral:rRNA from 1 species
AGAGUUUGAUCCUGGCUCAGGAUGAACGCUGGCGGCGUGCUUAACACAUGCAAGUCGUACGAUGAAGCCCUAGCUUGCUGGGUGGAUUAGUGGCGAACGGGUGAGUAACACGUGAGCAACCUGCCCCUGACUCUGGGAUAAGCGCUGGAAACGGCGUCUAAUACUGGAUACGAACCAUGAAGGCAUCUUCAGUGGUUGGAAAGAUUUAUUGGUUGGGGAUGGGCUCGCGGCCUAUCAGCUUGUUGGUGAGGUAAUGGCUCACCAAGGCGUCGACGGGUAGCCGGCCUGAGAGGGUGACCGGCCACACUGGGACUGAGACACGGCCCAGACUCCUACGGGAGGCAGCAGUGGGGAAUAUUGCACAAUGGGCGCAAGCCUGAUGCAGCAACGCCGCGUGAGGGAUGACGGCCUUCGGGUUGUAAACCUCUUUUAGCAGGGAAGAAGCGAAAGUGACGGUACCUGCAGAAAAAGCACCGGCUAACUACGUGCCAGCAGCCGAGGUAAUACGUAGGGUGCAAGCGUUAUCCGGAAUUAUUGGGCGUAAAGAGCUCGUAGGCGGUUUGUCGCGUCUGCUGUGAAAUCUGGGGGCUCAACCCCCAGCCUGCAGUGGGUACGGGCAGACUAGAGUGCGGUAGGGGAGAUUGGAAUUCCUGGUGUAGCGGUGGAAUGCGCAGAUAUCAGGAGGAACACCGAUGGCGAAGGCAGAUCUCUGGGCCGUAACUGACGCUGAGGAGCGAAAGGGUGGGGAGCAAACAGGCUUAGAUACCCUGGUAGUCCACCCCGUAAACGUUGGGAACUAGUUGUGGGGGUCCAUUUCCACGGAUUCCGUGGACGCAGCU